rnacentral:lncRNA from 1 species
AAUAAAUGAUCAUAAAUCUUUGUAAUAGACAUGAAGGUUAUAUAAUAUAUUUAUAUGAUAUCAAGCUAUCGAGCAAUCGAGUGAGUGAAUGCUGGCUCAAGAUCAACUCAUUCCUCGAUCGAGCUAGAUAAAGUGCUCAUACUCAGCUCAUUUCUUUACGAGUCGAUCUCGAGUCGAGCCAAAAUACGAGUCAAUCUCGAGCAGCUCACGAGCCUCGAGCUUUUCUUGCAGCCUUACCAGCAACCAUCAACAACUCAGUACAAACUCACGCCAUUCCAACACAUGCACACACCCAAGGUGGAUACACUGGCGCUGAGCGUAGCAACAACCCCACCCCUACCACUACAAGAGCUAUCGGGGUCCUCAAUCAUGAACACCCCAUUGUGAAGAGAUGAAGCUGCCUACGAUGAGUCAUGAGCUUCAAAGUGGUGCCUUCGGGGAAGGAUAUGACACCAGAGUGCUGUCAACGCUCGAACUAAGGAUUAGGGUUUUCCUUGGAGCAACACGACGAGCAAUGAGGACCGUAGCAACGCCUUCAAGAAGGAAAUGAACAUCGCUGUCGCUGGCCUGCUCAAAGACAACAGAUUUUCACCUCGAACUCACACUCAUCACCCUCGGCAUAUGUGUGACCGCCACACCACCGCCAUCGAUCGUCACAUGCCCUGGCCGCCACGCUGCGCACAUAGCCAUGGCCAUCGGUUAGCACCCAAGCAUGAGUUUCGCCCACGAGCCGAGUAUCACCUAAGCACGAGCUCCGCCCACGAGCCCCGCGCUCCUACCACCAGAGCCUCCGCCCCGGCCUCCAGGACCACCCCACCCCCAUCAACAUGGACCACUCACGUUGAGGCCGGGAAAUCAGUCCAUUUUGGUAUAUCCGGAGCCUCGCUAGCCGUAGCAGGGCAGGGGAGGCCACCAGCUGCUAGCCACGCCGCAGCCGCCGUGCCAUUUCUUGAACCGGGGCCAGUCACCAUUGCCACCCUUGGCAACAACAAGACCUAGAGCGCCCCUGCCACCAAGGUUAGCCAAAGGCGAGAAGCGCUGAGCCGCCAUGUUCCACCAUCAGACGCGCCGUUAACCGCAGAGCUGAAUGCCUCAUGAAUCAGGAGGAGGGGAGGGGGGCGUUACCUUGACCAGUCGAGAGGGCCUCGGUCAGGGCAGCUGCCUGCGGCGCCGCGAGGUCAAAUCUGGACGAGCCACCGCGGUCGCCGUCCCCAACCUCUUCCCGCACUACCACCACUCACUGCCGCUCGUGCUAGAUCUGGCCAUGCCGGACCAUGCCGUCGUUGUCUCUGGCACCCCAGCGCGCCUGCCACCUGGCCAUCCGCCGCGGGGAGGCGGCGCUGCCCACCGCGCCGUCGUGGAGCCUAGUCGCAGCGCCAUAUUCUGGCCCGGGACACCGGCCUGUGCCAACACCACCCGAGCAGGAAGACACAUGGGCCCCACUGCCUUUGCCUGGACACGCCCCCGGGGCGGUGACGAGGGAGGAGGAAGGAGAAGGAGGAGGCGGUGGCGGGGAUGAUGGUUGGCCUCCGGGUCGCCUUGCUGGGACGACGCGGAGGAGGGAGGGAGCUUGUCCCUGACAAUGUUGCAAUACCGUACCCAUCAGCAGUCGGCACAUGGGCUAGAUAGGUAGUCGGGUCCACACCAUAAAUGAAUGUGUUGGCACAUUGUCAGUGUCGUGACAAGAUGCAUCACACACCAAUCGUGCGCCUCACGGUCGCCCUGAAUCAAGCUUAAGAAGAAGGAAGAACUGCAUAUCAUCCUCCCUGGUGGUGGUUUGCAGAUCUUCAUGAAGAAGAAUAUCAAUAAGGAGAUCUAUCAAGAAAGCCUUGGGCUCCGUGGUGGCAUGCAAAUCUUUGUACAUAAUACACGUCAUGUCACUAGUGCAGAAAAACUUAACUAUGGUGUGCCAAAAAUAGCCUUGCUGGCGUAUGAGCCCGACACCACCAAUAUGGCGCCAUUGUUAAGAAAUAGUGAUGGCGUUGGAGGCUACAUCAGCAGUAUUUUUGAUAUCUAUGGCGUUCGUUAAAAUUGCACGAUGGCAAUAUCAUAUGUACCUAUGGCGUUGGGACUUCUCCACACGACAUAAAUAUGGAGAAACCUUGGAGGUGCUGCAUAUCCUUCCCACACCAUUACUUAGUUUGAAAGCAUCGGAAAAACUCUGUCACGGCAGCCAAAAAACGAUGCUUUUUUAAGAUCAAAUAUAUUUAGAGUUGGGUUCGCAAGUGCGAUAAGAAGACAGAAUGACAUGUGUAGCUGAUCGAGUAGUUUACAGAACUACAACAACAAAGCUAGCUAUCACUAUCCUAUUUUUUAGAGAAAAGGCUUAGCCUGAGCCUGAAGUAGGCUCGGUCCUAACCCGGCUUUGAAUUAACAAAAACAAAGCCGUCAACCGGCCAUGAUUACACGAGCAGCAUACAAACAACACAAAAAAGAACAACAAGAAAUGCCGGAAAGAUGCAAGGGGCACUCUGAACUUACAACACAUCGGAGAGUAAACCGAUGACCGCAACCCUCAGGCGCUGAGGAAAAACGGGAGGAGCGCCACUGGGACAUCUUGAAAUGAGUGGGCGGCAUGCACAUGGUUAUGCUCUGGAGCUUGGGGACAACACCACCCUCCACCACCGAAGAGGGCCACCACCCUAUCGUCUUGGCUCAAAACACGUCGUACCGUCGGACAUGGGAGACGCUCACCGAGAGCUAGAGAAUGCCGAUCCUCAGAUCCAGAGCAAACACAGGUCAUGACCUCCUUGACGAAGAAAGCACACCAAGUCGGCCACACCAUCUUGCGCCUAGAACGUUUAAAGGCUGCAGGAAAGCCGCCGAGAAACAACAGAGAGGCGGGCAACAGGACAGCGAGAGGCACUGCAACUGCUGCUGGCCAAAAACCCCACCUUCAGCAACCCUACGCCCGAAUCCACACUCCCCAGUCAACGCCUCCAUGGAGGGAACGACACACACGGCGCCGCCGCUGCCCAAUCUGACCGGAUUUUGGGUUUUCACCCGGGAAAGGAAAUGGAGGUGGGGAGAAGGAGACCACAACACCGCUUCCAAGAAGGAAACGUCGCCCAAGGCUGACGUCGCUGCCGGGCCGAGCCAGCCGGCCAAGGGUUUCCCCCGGUCCCGAUCUGCACCACCAGCCCCAAAUUUCACCAGAUCUAGCGACCAACCGUGGGAAAAUAGGCGCACAUGGGGGAGGGAGCGAAGUGGGGGCGGCAAACCUCCAGAUCUGGCGAGGAAGGAGGCCUCCACGCUGUAGCCACCAGGCGCCGACGCCCCACCGCCCCCGCAGUCGAGGACACCGG